rnacentral:lncRNA from 1 species
GCAGACGCGGGUUGGAUCCUGUGUUGCUGUGGCUGUAGUGUAGACUGGCAGCUAUAGCUCCGAUUGGACCUCUAACCUGGGAACCUCCAUAUGCGGCCUAAAAAGCAAAAAAAAAUAAAAAAAAAUGUUUGAAAAUGCUAGAAUGUUUUAAUUAAUGUUGGUACUUGAGAAGUAAUACUAUGUAAUGGAGAAUGAUUGUUUGACUUUUUGCAUAUAGGUAGAGAUAUUUCAGAUGACAUAUUUGAUGCGUGAGAAUUACUGAAAUUAGGCAGUAAGUUAUAUUUAAAGGAGUCAAUGUGAGAAUAGUUGGAUAUAGACAGAAAACUUAAGUUGGGAAUUGUUUUCUAGCUUAUAACCUUUCUCUCAUUAUCUGUUAUUAAUAGGUUAUAAAAACAAAGACUAAUAAAGAUACUGAUAAUCUGAACUUUUGCCUUUUAUACCCUUUAAAAUAGCAAAGAAAUUUGUUUUCUAAAAUGAGCUGUAGUAGAAGAAUUACUUUGUAAUGUUGAUCAAGUCCUUACCUUCCCUAUAGAAAUAAUAAUAAUAAUAUUAUUAUUAUCAUCUUUUUAGGGCUGCACUUGCAGCAUAAGGAGGCUCCUAGGCUAGAGUUCAAAUUGGAGCUGUAGCCAAUGGCCUUCACCACAGCCACAGCAACAUGGAAUCUGACAUUGCCAUGAGCUGUGGUGUGGGUCGCAGAUGCGGCUUAGAUCCCGAGUUGCUGUGGCUCUGGUGUAGGCCGGUGGCUACAGCUCCGAUUAGACCCCUAGCCUGGGAACGAACCUCCAUAUGCCACGGGAGCGGCUCAGGAAAAGGCAAAAAAAAAAAAAAAUCAUUGUAUAUCUCGUGCUCAUCACAUCACGGUGCUUGACCAUAUUAAGUUCACAUUUAAAUAUUGGUAAAUUGUGUGAUAUCUUUAUUUUCUACUUCUGCCCCCAAUCUCCUGAGUAUUCAACCUUUGCUAAUGGUUAGUGCCUUUGGACCUAUCACGGAGAAGGAAUUUUUCCUCGAUCUUCCCCUUUCCCUCGUUCUUUUGGGUGGCCUAAGAAUUAAAUUGACAUGAGACCAACUGACAGGAGGAAAGUCACACAAAAGUUUAAUAACGUGUAUGUGAGAGACCCAGGAAAACUGAGUAACUCACUAAAAUGCCUGAAACCCUCACCUUAAAUUCCAUCUUCAACUGAAGACAAAAGAGGAUGUUGGGGUUAGUGGUUUGAGACUUCAAAGGGGAGGAAAGCAAUUGACUUGGAGAUGGAAAAGCAAAAAUUGGGUAGAUAAAUGUUUGCUGGGCCAUUCAGAGACAAUGGGACACAGAGCAGACUCUGACCUCUAGGCAGCACCUCGAGUUUCCCUCCACCACACAUAGCCCAUAUUCUUCAUAGAUAUCUCUGGUGAUAGUCUUGGAACAGGCUCUCUAUCUAAUUUUUUUUUUUUUAAGGUCAGGGGAAAGGUGAAAGUCUUUAGGGCCCUCACUGUUUCCAGCUUGAAAUAAUCCAUAUGCCAAAGAGAUAUUUGGGGGUGGCAAGUUUUGCUACCCUAUAGAUCCCGACUCGAUUUUACACUAGUUUUUGUUCUGUGUAGAAUACCUUUAACUUCAGUCUUCAGCUGUAAGAGGUGGGAAACGGCUGUAGAGAAAGCAAUAGAGCAGACCUGCACAGGGGAGAGGAAAUGGAGGGGUGAGAAAGGGUACAUUUUUGCUUUUGGCACCUGACAUGAGAAGGGACUCUUAGAGCUGUAUUUAUCAGGUCAGUAUGUUUCCGUGAUCAUUAACAUUAUGUAAAGAGUACAGUAACACUGAACGAUUUUUAAUCUAAAAGUUAAAAGGCAAAUAGGUUUUAUAUUUGUUAAGUUGGAGAAAUAUUUGAGUACUGUUGAUUUUAUCUGAAUUGUAGAAUUGGAAAUUCUGCAGUCUGUAAAAGAGCAAGUUAAAAAUUGACAGUACUCUUAACCUACAUACAGGUGAUAUUUUCUUAUGUAAACAGAUACCUGACACCUUGGGGAAGAAAAGGAAAGGGAGACAAUGAAAAGCUGUUUAACUUAGAAUGUAAAUAGGAACUGUAGAAUAUAAAGAGUGAGUUGUUAAGUGUUAUUGAGCGGGAUUUUGCUUUUCUUAAGCACUUAUAAGUGAACUUUUAAGUUCACUAAUUUAGUGGAGGUUAUUUCUCUCAUAGAAACAAAAUCGAUUGUAUCAACAGUGUAAAGUACCAUUAACUAAUAUUUCUAUUUUUUAUAAAAAAUAGGAGUUUUGAAUUUUCCACGGGAUUAUUAAGGGACUUGAUAACAUGUUGCUGCUUUAACGGGAAGACUGUAUCUACUCCUCAGAUAGUUUGGAAAGGCAGUCUCUAAGUGUCAGUGUCAGAAGUAAAGCCAGUUUUGAUGGAUUUUAUUUGUCAUUAUUGAGCAUACAGUUAUAGGUUGCAGCUUGAAAGUUUUGGUAUCAUGGAAGAUGAUGGACCAAAAACUGCGACUGGGGUCAGCCUUUCUGUAUGUAUUUUUUCUGUUUGUUUACUUGGAAAAAACCUUAAAAAGAUUUGUUUUUAUACCAGUAGCUGUUUCUGACUAGUGUAUAAUGUGAAUUUAUAUUUGCAUAGCACUUUAUAACGUGUGUUUUCAUAUGUACUCUUUUAUGUCGUUAACUUGUAAUAGAUUAUAGUAUUCUACUUAGGGAGUAUAUUUCUGAACUAGUGUUUAGAAAAUGUAAAUAUAGCUCACUCUAAAUAUCUGAAGUUGGGGAGUUCCCAUCGUGCUGCAGUGGUUAACGGAUCCGACUAGGAACCAUAAGGUUGCGAAUUCGAUCCCUGGCCUUGCUCAGUGGGUUAAGGAUCCAGCGUUGCCAUGAGCUGUGGUGUAGGUUGCAGACUCAGCUCCGAUCCCGCGUUGCUGUGGUUGUGGUGUAGGCUAGCAACCACAGCUCCGAUUAGACCCCUAGCCUGGGAACCUCCAUAUGCUGCAGGUGCGGCCCUAGAAAAGACAAAAAGACAAUAAAUAAAUAAAUAAAUAAAUAUCUGAAGUUAGAAAUUAAACUUUUGUUUUUAUAAUAGGAGGAAAAUAGAUUUGCAGAAUUUCUUAGGUACUUAGUCUUUAAAAAUCUAUAUAAAUGUUAAUACAGUUUUAAAACAUUACUAACCAUUCAGUUUUGUGGGACUUUUAGUGGCUGGAGAUAUAAAAGCAAAAUAUAGGUGUUAUUGCCUCAGUAGAAUAAAGGGCUUCAUACACAGGCCUAAAGAUUCUACAUGUACAUUAGUAAGUAAUUGGAAAUAACUCUGUAGCCAGACUGAUUUUCAGAUUUACCUACACGUACCUCUGUUUGAAAAGAUAAAUAGAAAUUAUUAGUAAAUAGUGUUUUGAAUAUUUCAGGACUUAGUUAAUGCAUAUCUAGAGCAAUAAUGAUGGUAUACACCACUAAUUUUUUGUUAACCUUGAUUAAUCUAAGGGUGGAAAUGGUAGCAUUACUGUGUAUUAAUGAUACAUAUACUUAUGCAGUGUGUAUUUUUGGAACUUUAAAGCCUGUAGAGUAACUCAGAACUGGGUGACAAAGCAUCGUGAAAGGCAGGGGUCUUUGGGAGAUACUUCAGUGAAAGUGAAUGAUAUAUAAAUAGCAUAUCAAAUAUCCCUAAAUCUUACCUUCUGUAUGUUUAAAAAACCUUUUUUCCCCCUUAAGACUAUUAAAUAAUUAUUGAGAAUUUUUUUGAACUCAAUAAGCUUAACAAUAUUUUUUGCCCACAAUUCUAACCAAGUCAUCAUCCAAAUUUAUCAAAAUCCAAAUGAGUGGAAUUUAUUAGAUGAAAUUUUGUUGUAUAUUUUUCUUUUGAGAAGUGAGAAGGAAUUUAAAAGUAGUGAAACUCAACGUAGUAAAUAUCAAAUUUAUAUAACAAUUCAGAGAAAAAAUAGUGAUUGGAAAACAAGUGCAAUAUCUAUUUUAGUGACUAACCAAAUCCUGAAAUACUGCUGUGCAAAGGACUUUUAGAAGUAUUAGCAAGAGUUCCUGUUGUGGCUCAGCAGAUUAAGAACCUGACAUAGUGUCUCUGAGGAUGCAUGUUUGAUCCCUGGCCUCACUCAACAGGUUAAAGAUCCAGGGUUGCAGCAAGCUGCAAUGUAGGUCACAGAUGCAGAUUGGAUCUAGUGUUGCUGUGGCUGUGGUGUAGGCUGGCAGGUGCAGUUCAGAUUCGAUCCCUAGCACAGGAACUUCACUAUGCCGCAGGUGUGGCUGUAAAAAGAAAGAAAAAAAAAA